rnacentral:rRNA from 1 species
AUUGAACGCUGGCGGCAGGCCUAACACAUGCAAGUCGAGCGGAUGAAGGGAGCUUGCUCCUGGAUUCAGCGGCGGACGGGUGAGUAAUGCCUAGGAAUCUGCCUGGUAGUGGGGGAUAACGUCCGGAAACGGGCGCUAAUACCGCAUACGUCCUGAGGGAGAAAGUGGGGGAUCUUCGGACCUCCCGCUAUCAGAUGAGCCUAGGUCGGAUUAGCUAGUUGGUGGGGUAAAGGCCUACCAAGGCGACGAUCCGUAACUGGUCUGAGAGGAUGAUCAGUCACACUGGAACUGAGACACGGUCCAGACUCCUACGGGAGGCAGCAGUGGGGAAUAUUGGACAAUGGGCGAAAGCCUGAUCCAGCCAUGCCGCGUGUGUGAAGAAGGUCUUCGGAUUGUAAAGCACUUUAAGUUGGGAGGAAGGGCAGUAAGUUAAUACCUUGCUGUCUUGACGUUACCAACAGAAUAAGCACCGGCUAACUUCGUG